AGAUUGAACGCUGGCGGCAUGCUUUACACAUGCAAGUCGAGCGGCAGCGCGGGGGCAACCCUGGCGGCGAGCGGCGAACGGGUGAGUAAUACAUCGGAACGUAUCCCGUAGAGGGGGAUAGCCCGGCGAAAGCCGGAUUAAUACCGCAUAUGCUCUACGGAGGAAAGUGGGGGACUCGCAAGGGCCUCACGCUAUGGGAGCGGCCGAUGGCCGAUUAGCUAGUUGGUGGGGUAAAGGCCUACCAAGGCGACGAUCGGUAGCUGGUCUGAGAGGAUGAUCAGCCACACUGGGACUGAGACACGGCCCAAACUCCUACGGGAGGCAGCAGUGGGGAAUAUUGGACAAUGGGCGCAAGCCUGAUCCAGCCAUGCCGCGUGAGUGAUGAAGGCCCUAGGGUUGUAAGCUCUUUUGUGCGGGAAGAUAAUGACGGUACCGCAAGAAUAACGCCCGGCUAACUCGUGCCAGCAGCCGC
rnacentral:rRNA from 1 species